AGGUGUCUAUAUCGGUGGUGUCCACCUCUUCCCAUUCCGAACAGAGAAGUUAAGCCCACCAGAGCCGAUGGUACUGCGGUAACACGUGGGAGAGUAGGUCGGUGCCAAAUC
rnacentral:rRNA from 1 species